GAUGAAGAACGUAGCAAAAUGCGAUACUUGGUGUGAAUUGCAGAAUCCCGUGAACCAUCGAGUUUUUGAACGCAAGUUGCGCCCGAAGCCUUUUGGCCGAGGGCACGUCUGCCUGGGCGUCACGCAUCGCGUCGCCCCCCCACAAUUCUCUGUAAAGGGAACUCGUGUUUUGGGGGCGGAUAUUGGUCUCCCGUGCUCAUGGCGUGGUUGGCCGAAAUAGGAGUCCCUUCGAUGGACGCACGAACUAGUGGUGGUCGUAAAAACCCUCGUCUUUUGUUUCGUGCUGUUAGUCGCGAGGGAAACUCUAAGAAAACCCCAGCGUGUCGUCUUUUGACGGCGCUUCGACCGCGACCCCAGGUCAGGCGGGACUACCCGCUGAGUUUAAGCAUAUCAAUAGCGGAGGA
rnacentral:misc_RNA from 1 species